GGGCUACAAGAAUUCUAAGAUUACAAGGUUUUGCAGUCCCACAUGAUAACUUGAGGAUGUUCCCCACCCACCACUGGCUGAAAUGUCCCUCAUUCACUCAAAAAUACUAGCAGGUGAGAAUAGUUCCUUAGUCCUCAUUGGUAAUCAAGGUGAAAAAAAAAAUCUCAAUUUAAGAAGAAAAACUAUGUCAUACUUUUCUUCAGUUUUCCUUCAUUUUAAAUUAAAUUUCAGUUAAAGCCCGUUCUGUAUGUAAGCAGCUUGAAAAUGGCUACUGUGUCUUAACUAACAAACUCUAAACUGAUGGAAAAAACUCCAGUUUAUUUUGGAUCCAGAAGAAGUGAAGACCUAGGGCAAAGUGCUGCUGCUAAGAUCAAAGAGACAGACAGGGAUUCAGUGAAGCUGCCUGGGGUACCCAGAUUCAAACGUAGAUGCCGGCACACAGCAGGAGGAAGAGGACACCAAAGCCCAUGAAGAGCAAGGCCUCCAGAGAGAUGAGGCAUCUACCUGAUGGAGAAGAACAUGCAAGUGGUCAGAUGGGGGAAGACAGCUGGGUUGACUUGGCCGGUGUAUCUGCUCAGGGCCUUGAGCUCCAUCUCGCCAACACAGGCUACACUGCCAGGACUGCGCAUUUUUAUUCCCAGCACUCAAGAGACUAAGGCAGGAGGGUCCUAAAUUCAAGCCCAGUCUGGGCAACUUGGUGACUUAGCAAGACCCUGACUCAAAAUACAAAAAUCUGUUUUAUGGUAUGAGUUAUAAUGUCUCCUCUUUUAUUAUGAUUUUAUUUGAGACUUCUCCCUUUUCACUCUCACCAAAGGUUUGUCCAUCUUGUUUACAUUUUAAAACAAAAAACUUCUAGUUCAAUUGAUCAUUUUUUCUUAGUCUCUAUUUCAUUAUUUCUGCUCUUACCUUUAUAUCUUCUUUCCCUCUACCAGCUGUGACCUUAGUUGUUUUUUUCACUAGUUCCUUGAGGUAUAAAAGUUAAAUUGAUCAUCUGAGGUCUUUGCUUUUUCUUUUAUAGGCACUGACCACAAUAAACUGCCCUCUCAGAAUUGGUUUUACUGCAUUUAUAAGUUUUGGAGCCAGCCUAUGAGUUUAUCCCUGGCCAGGAGGCAAACAGAAGUUAAAGACACAGACACAGAGAUAAUUUAGAAUGAAGAGAACAUGGGGCUCUUGCCUCCAGUGGACAAGGAGCCCUGAGCAUUUGGCUCACCUCACUUUUAUUCACUUAGAUAUGGGAAUGAACAAUUAGAUUAAUAGAAGAGUCAUCUGUUUCUUAUCUAUAGCAUGUACCCAGGUAAACAUCCAGAUCUCAGCUGUAUUGAGUCUUCUCUGGAACUUGCAACAUGCUAGAAUGUCUGCAUAUUGCCAAAGGAAGCAUAGCUUGCUGUUUUUCUCUUCUGUACUUGCAGAGGUCAAUUAGGCCUUGAUCCUCAGUAUCUGGUCUCCUACAACCCUUUAUACCUGAGUUACAAGUCAUUUACACACCACUGUUCCAGG
rnacentral:lncRNA from 1 species